GAUGAACGCUGGCGGCGUGCCUAAUACAUGCAAGUCGAGCGAACAGACGAGGAGCUUGCUCCUCUGACGUUAGCGGCGGACGGGUGAGUAACACGUGGAUAACCUACCUAUAAGACUGGGAUAACUUCGGGAAACCGGAGCUAAUACCGGAUAAUAUAUUGAACCGCAUGGUUCAAUAGUGAAAGACGGUUUUGCUGUCACUUAUAGAUGGAUCCGCGCCGCAUUAGCUAGUUGGUAAGGUAACGGCUUACCAAGGCAACGAUGCGUAGCCGACCUGAGAGGGUGAUCGGCCACACUGGAACUGAGACACGGUCCAGACUCCUACGGGAGGCAGCAGUAGGGAAACUUCCGCAAUGGGCGAAAGCCUGACGGAGCAACGCCGCGUGAGUGAUGAAGGUCUUCGGAUCGUAAAACUCUGUUAUUAGGGAAGAACAAAUGUGUAAGUAACUAUGCACGUCUUGACGGUACCUAAUCAGAAAGCCACGGCUAACUGCGUG
rnacentral:rRNA from 1 species